rnacentral:rRNA from 1 species
UACAGAGGUGGCAAGCGUUGUUCGGAAUUAUUGGGCGUAAAGAGCUCGUAGGCGGUUUGUCGCGUCUGCUGUGAAAACUGGAGGCUCAACCUCCAGCCUGCAGUGGGUACGGGCAAACUAGAGUGCGGUAGGGGAGAUUGGAAUUCCUGGUGUAGCGGUGGAAUGCGCAGAUAUCAGGAGGAACACCGAUGGCGAAGGCAGAUCUCUGGGCCGUAACUGACGCUGAGGAGCGAAAGCAUGGGGAGCGAACAGG